ACGGUCUUCAGUUUCUCAUCUCACCCCGUGCGCUCUCUCUCUCUCUCUCUCCUCUGUCUCUCUUUAGAUUCUUUGGGUAUAGAUCUCUCUAUUCCACUUCGUUUUCUCCCUAAGUUUGGAAUUAAAGCUGCAUAUUAUAGGCUGUUGAUUUUGUUCCUGGGUUUCUUUUGGUAUUCGAGAGGUCUGGUUGAUUUGAACCCAAGACGAAGUUGCUUCCACUAUAACUCUUCGCAACAAAGCAAGACUGGAGAAGAUGACCAUUUGUGAUUGGCUAUUUGCCGCGUCUAUCAGGUGUUGGGGUGUACUUUGCUUUGUCAAACAUGUGGUAUGCAAUUCUUGAAUCUUCCCAUGUGUCUGUCAUUCCUUCUUUGUUUUUCCUUUUAGGUUUGGAAUUAAAGCUAUGUAAUUUGGGUUGAGUUCAUUCUCAUAGGAUUGGAGUCAGUGCUGGAUAUGUAUCUUCAAAGAGCGAAGAGUGUAGGUCUUGUAAAACGUGGCUGCCAACGAAGUUGGACUCACUGUUUGUCUGCUCAUCCUCUUCCUCACUCUGCUUUGCGCAAUUCGAUUUUCUUUUUAUGGUUGCUGGGUGAUUUAUUUCUCUUACUCCUGUUGUUCCCCGUGAUGGCGCUGCUGAAACGUAAAAUUACGAGUUCUGUUGAGAGGCGAGACUUGCUUUUGUCGGAAUGUCAUAUACGUUGUUGUGUGCUACUUUGAUGACAAGUUUGACUUGGUUCUUUCAGUUAGCUUUCUGUUUCAUCUUGUUAAAUCUUAUGGAUCUAAUUGGCUUAUUAACUGACAUAUAACGAACUAUAUAUAUGAAUUAAGUUGUUAGUUAAAGCUGACAUAGGAUUCAUGGCAAUUCGAUACUAUAAAUGAAUUCAGGAUGAGGUGCAUUUUUUUGGUUUUAAUAUUUAAAAAGCGAUAACCAAUUGCUUGACUUAUUUUUAUUGGGUUCUCUGGAGUUUUAUUUGGAUUAAGGUUUAGGAAAUUGGAUAAACGAGGAGAAGUAAAGAGAAAAAAGACAGGCACAUCGAAAAAGGGGAAGAGACUCUAUGUCGCGGAAUUGUUGGAGAUGGAUGCUGACUUAAAGGGGGUGGCAGGAAAUGAAUUGGGAGUUGGUGAGGUUGGAAAGAUUUGAGACUCUGGCUGCUGAAAUUUUGAAGAGGUCGAGUUUUCUUUGUGUAGGCUACGAUAAUUUAUUUUAUUUAAUUUCGGUUUAGCGUUGGGAUAUAUGUUACCUGGAGGAAGAUUAUUAUCACAUGACAGAUUGGUUAGGUCAUUGCGAAGAAAGAAAUUUACCUUUUAGAAUACAGAAGAUUGGUAUGGUCGUGUAACUGCAUUAGAUGACGUGAUCGUAGCAGCAGAUUUAUCAGCUCCUAAUAUGCUCAUAUGUGCUUACAAAAUUAACAAUGAGACCGAAAAAGAAGAAUAGUUUGCAAGGAGAUACUUGUAUGUGCCCCUAUGAUUACUUUGUAUUCGUCGAUUACAGACAAGCUGAAUAUUGAUGUUGUUGCAUUUUCUCUUGCUUCCAUUAUUUUCACACAUUGGAGAACUUCAAUUAAGUUGUCGAUAACACCAGCAGACAUAAUGAGGAUCUUGUUAUUCUCAUGUAUUGAAAGGUUGAGCAAUGUUGUGACUGCAUUCUCCCGGAUUCUUGUAUCACGGGAACCAAGCAUAGUCACCAGAAAUGGAAUAGCUCUAGACUCAACUAUGAUUCUGCGAUUGUCCAUUCCAGUUUUCGCGAGCAAUCUUAGCUCAUAUGUUGCCUGUCUCUGUAUAUCUGGAGAUCCUGUUGCCAGUUUUCUAACUAAAAACUCUGCUGUCAUUUUCACAGCAUAUGUGGCAGCUUUAGUAGCAGAAAUGUAGUCAAUCGCCUUGUCACAUUUCUUAAUCUUACUGCUGCUGCUACUUUCUGAAUCUGAAGAAUAUAAUGUAGGUUAUGUUGUUGGGAUGUUGUUCUCUUGGCACCAUUGAUGGAUUAGACUUUUCAGUGCAUAGUUGGGAAUGAGAGCCACAUGUAUCAGCCUCUGACCACUUUUUGGACAAGUGUGGUGCCUUGAAUUUAUCCACUGAGCAAUUGAAUUCCGAUCAUAAAUAUGGCCUGAUGCUACUAUCACAGGGUUCCUCAUCAAGUCGAGUGAAAUUGGACAGCAGGAUCCAUCAAGGAUGUCGAAAACCACUGAAUAACACGAGGAGGGUUGACCAGCACGAGUACUCAUUAGUUCUGGCAGCUUCAAAGUUUGCUUAAUCAUAAGGCUAAUCGGCAUUUUAGUUCUACGAAGAUUCUAUGGUACUCUAUUCGAGCUCUCAAAGGACGAGGGGUGAAUCACUACUUUAAACAAUUCAACUUUGCUUAUGGAAGCUUAGAUAUUAUAGUUGUGCAUACAUGAUUGUAUGAGGUUACUUCAAAUGGUGUUGGAGAUAGGCAAUCACAAUUGCUGAAAGACACACUUGAAAAUAGUGAAAGCAAAUGGUGCAUUGCUGUCGGAAUUCAUCUAUUGGUAGGUUGCGAAGAAGAUACUACUCUAACGGAACUAAAACACAAAUUACAGUCUUUACAUGGCGUAUUCCUGAAAUAUGGAGUGGAUGCAUAUAUAAGUGGACAUGAUUGUGCUGAUAAUGUUGAGAAAAGACCUAUUGCAAAAUCCAAAACUGGAACUGUCAGAUAUAAAGGACCUUUGCUGACUAAAGUGAAUCAGAACUUGCCCUACUCUAUGCAAAAUGUAACUGGGUUCCUACUUCACGAAGUCAGUGCUAUAAAGAUCGUAUCCUACUUAGUCACCUUGAAAGGUAAUGUUGUGCAGAAAUUUUUUCUCCAUCAAAGAGGCAAAGAGAUUAUGUAGAUAUACCGGGAAUAUUGAUGUUUGUAUUUGUUAUUGUCAUGAGAAGGAGUGAAUAGAGAUCCAAUCAAUUUUUGGUGAUGAAUCCAACUUUUUCCCGUUCUUUGGAGUAAGGGGGGAGGGGGCGGGAGGGGAAGAGAAGGGACCAAAAAAGUGAAUUCAUUCGUGAUAGUUGUAAUAGUAAUCAUUUGAUCCGACUAAUAAAACUUUUGAUUUUAAUCAAUUGUUAAAAUAUUGCAA